AUGCGCGCCGGGCCGACGGGGUGGAGGCGCAGCAACGGGGGAGUGCCCGUUCCCCCGUUGCCCGAUGUCGUGGCACGUGCCCUCUACUUCGCUGCCGAGGUAGAGCUCGUGCGCGCCUCCCUCACCAACGAGCAGCUCGCCCUCUCCCAGUACGCCGCCGACAACCACGCGGCGUGGGCGGCGUACUUCGAGCGGCGUCAGGAGCAGAGGCUGGCGUCCACCAACGGGGCGCCGGUGGUGGGCAGCACGAAGAACAGCGAGGGACGCCGCGUGUGGUGGGGCUUCCCCGGCCGCACGCUCGAGGGCGUGCUGACGCACCUUGAGGGCGGCAACAACCCGCCGCUGGCAUACCCUCCCCCGGUGGCCGCCCCGGCCCAUCGUCGACGCGUCGGGCAAUGGAUGCCCAGGAGGUUCGGCUCCUCCUCGUCUUCCUCCUCGCACUCCUCCUCACGGUCUUGUUCCCACUCCUCCGGCUCUCCGGCGCUGCUCGGUGUCAAGGCCGAGGCCGCGGCGGGGACGCCGCUCGGCCGGCGCACUCGCAGCGCCGGCAUCGUCAUCAACGAGGGCGGCCGGCGCGCCUCCUCGUCGGCUCCUUCGCGCUUCGUCAAGCCAAAGACGGAGCCGGGGCUCGCGCCGGUGAAAACGGAGCCGGGUCUCCCCGCCGUGAAGACGGAACAUGGCGACGUGGAGCUCGACGACGAGGCGGCCCUGAAAUGGGCGCUCAAGGACUUCCUGAAGAUGGAGAGGGAGCGCGAGUGCGCCGCCCUGUGGCGCUUCCAGCAGCGCCGCCGGGGCCGCGACGAAGGAGGAGUCGUCGUCCUCGACGACAGCGACGACGACGACGCGCCGCCGCCGCCACCAGUCCGCCAUGGCGAUGCCGGGCAGGGGACCACCAGGGACGGCCGCGUCAAGGAGGAGAAGGCCGACGACGACGGCGGCGGCGAGGAUGGCGGCGACGACGGCGACUACUCC
rnacentral:rRNA from 1 species